UUGGGCGUAAGCGCGCGCAGGCGGCCUUUUAAGUCUGAUGUGAAAGCCCCCGGCUCAACCGGGGAGGGUCAUUGGAAACUGGAAGGCUUGAGUGCAGAAGAGAAGAGCGGAAUUCCACGUGUAGCGGUGAAAUGCGUAGAGAUGUGGAGGAACACCAGUGGCGAAGGCGGCUCUUUGGUCUGUAACUGACGCUGAGGCGCGAAAGCGUGGGGAGCGAACAGGAUUAGAUACCCUGGUAGUCCACGCCGUAAACGAUGAGUGCUAAGUGUUGGGGGGUUUCCGCCCCUCAGUGCUGCAGCUAACGCAUUAAGCACUCCGCCUGGGGAGUACGGCCGCAAGGCUGAAACUCAAAGGAAUUGACGGGGGCCCGCACAAGCGGUGGAGCAUGUGGUUUAAUUCGAAGCAACGCGAAGAACCUUACCAGGUCUUGACAUCCCGCUGACCGGUCUGGAGACAGAUCUUCCCCUUCGGGGGCAGCGGUGACAGGUGGUGCAUGGGUGUCGUCAGCUCGUGUCGUGAGAUGUUGGGUUAAGUCCCGCAACGAGCGCAACCCUUGAUCUUAGUUGCCAGCAUUUAGUUGGGCACUCUAAGGUGACUGCCGGUGACAAACCGGAGGAAGGUGGGGAUGACGUCAAAUCAUCAUGCCCCUUAUGACCUGGGCUACACACGUGCUACAAUGGAUGGUACAGAGGGCUGCAAGACCGCGAGGUUUAGCCAAUCCCAUAAAACCAUUCUCAGUUCGGAUUGCAGGCUGCAACUCGCCUGCAUGAAGCUGGAAUCGCUAGUAAUCGCGGAU
rnacentral:rRNA from 1 species